GCCGGCGUAGGGGAGGCAGCUAGAGUGGCCUGCCUCAGCGCUGGCCUCCACCCCAAGCUUUAGCCCAGGCGCCUCUGCAUUCAGCAGGUGUCACUGGAAUGUCUUCAAGACGGACUGGAUGCUUCAACUAAUAUUUGGAGGAGAAGCACAGAAGACGAAUAGAAGUGGCCAUUGAUUUUUCUAACACUGAAUUGCAUCGGAGAGAGAGAGCAUGAUGUCAGAAUGGCCGGAAGGUGACACACUACCAAGCUGUUUGAAGAUGGACAUGUUACAGCUGGAGACAGGUCCAGCCCCACAGCAGGAGACAGAUUCGAGGGGGAACCCCAGGCAGCUCUUGACUGAAAGGACAGACCCACGGCCCCCAGGGGAAAGACACAGGCUAGACAUUCAUCCUGGACAAUUCCAGUUUACCUCCAAGAAGGCUUGAGAUAAUUAUGAUGGAGGCUGAUAUCCCCUGCUUUGCUGUAGUUGACCUGCUCUCACUGAAGUUCCUGAAUUUGUAACCUCAGAUGAUCUGAGCUGAUAAUUCUGCUCUCUUACUAUGGAAGUGACUUGACAGAUGUGGGAAAGUGAGAAAACAAGUGGAUGAAUAAAUCAGACCUGUGGUAUGGACACAUGUGUACUG